AGCAGGUGACGAUGCAAUACUAGACAGCGUUUUGGAUUACGAGAAAGAGAGUGGACUUCUAUCUCAAUCUGAAAAUUAUCACAACAGACAGGCCCGAGACACCUCUGACUAACGACCAGAACCCGCUCACAAGGUGAACAAGGCUACUUGUACCAGCGAAGAUGGUGUCUACCCACUACUCGUCAUACCCGACACGCCAGAAAAGCAAGGCAGACAACUGGCUAACACUAAAGAAACUGACACUGACGGAGGACCAUCUGGAUCCAAAAUGAACAUACCAGAAGCGCCAGAGAAAGCAGUGACUGACC